UAUUGAUAUGAUGAUAAUCGAUUCGGAAAACAUGAUGUCGAGUAAAGUAAAUCUUUCCAGACUACAAUUAUCUGAUCAAUG